GCAGGCGGUCAGUGGUAGAGCGGCUAACUGCAGAUCUCAUAGGAAAACGGUUUUAAUUAAGACCAUUGGAUACAAUGAAAAUUACUACACGGAUGCUUGAAUAUUACUGGUAAAACACGUGGUGUGUAGUAAAUUUCAUUGCCAGAGUUUUGUAAUCAAACCCGUUUUGCUACGAGAUCAGCUGGUCUCCGGUUCGAACCCGGAAACGUGUGCG